rnacentral:rRNA from 1 species
UACGGGGGGGGCAAGCGUUGUUCGGAAUUACUGGGCGUAAAGCGUGCGCAGGCGGCCUCUUAAGUCAGAUGUGAAAUCCCCGGGCUUAACCUGGGAACUGCGUUUGAAACUGGGAGGCUAGAGUGUGGAAGAGGGGGGUGGAAUUCCAGGUGUAGCAGUGAAAUGCGUAGAGAUCUGGAGGAACACCGAUGGCGAAGGCAGCCCCCUGGGUCAACACUGACGCUCAUGCACGAAAGCGUGGGGAGCAAACAGG